rnacentral:rRNA from 1 species
AUUGAACGCUGGCGGCAGGCCUAACACAUGCAAGUCGAACGAGUGGCGGACGGGUGAGUAAUGUCUGGGAAACUGCCCGAUGGAGGGGGGUAACUACUGGAAACGGUAGCUAAUACCGCAUACCCUCUGAUGUGCCCAGAUGGGAUUAGCUAGUAGGUGGGGUAACGGCUCACCUAGGCGACGAUCCCUAGCUGGUCUGAGAGGAUGACCAGCCACACUGGAACUGAGACACGGUCCAGACUCCUACGGGAGGCAGCAGUGGGGAAUAUUGCACAAUGGGCGCAAGCCUGAUGCAGCCAUGCCGCGUGUAUGAAGAAGGCCUUCGGGUUGUAAAGUACUUUCAGCGGGGAGGCGUUACUCGCAGAAGAAGCACCGGCUAACUCCGUGCCAGCAGCCGCGGUAAUUC